CCUGGAUAUAAUGUGUGGGAAAACGAGACCUAUAGGCUUAGGGCACUGGCGUAGCCAGCUCGAUAAGUGGGGGAGGGGGGCAUAUUCAUAUAUUCGUAUUCACAGAUCGUAAAGACAAUCAAUUUCAAAAGAAACUAAUAAUGCAGGACAUGAAUAUAUCUCCCCUCCCCCCAAUUAUUGAGCUGGCUACGCCACUCAUGGUUAGGGCGAGUUUUCCACGUUAUUCGAGUUCUCUCAAACUACUACAAGUGUUUCUAUAACUGUAUGGGUCACACAUAAUAAAUGUUUUAUAUUUAUUUCAUAAUAUAACUAAAAAAAGAUUUGUAGUAGACUCGAUAUAUUUACAAAUUCUCAUUACGUAAUAAUGCCGACCUUUGCUCCAUGCAUCAAUUUCACUACAAGAAACGCUUUUUGCCUUUAUCAGCAAAUAUCGCUAUAAGCCUAAUUUCGCAACUUUGAUGCAAAGAAUCUAACGAAAGGUGUAUCCUUUGCUACAAAUUGACGUAUAUAAAGAAAAGAAAGGGAAAUUCUACCGCGAUAUUUCCCGAUAAAGCGGUAUUUAAAAUCACUACAGAGAAAAUAGAACAAAUUACACUGAAUACAAAACAAGCUACAGAAGCGGAAGUGGGGAGGUUUUUCUAUUUUGACUGUAACAGUUACAAAAUGAGCUGAGUAGGUAAAAUUCUUUUUAAAGUUUUUUAAUUUGCAUUAAAAUUGUUUUGUUUACGAUUGUAAGUUUAGGCGGGAAAUUUCCCGUGUAGAAACACGCUUCUCGACCAAUCAACGCUCGCGUACUAUAAAUGUUCUAUUUUAUCAUAAUUUAUGCAUUUGGUACGGCUCAUGUAAAGCACGGCAGUAUAAAUCAACAUGUGCUUCAGCCGUGUAGCACGCCUGAACCAGGCGAACUUAUUAAUUUAGCCGUGCUUAAUAUUAAGUGCAGUGCUUAAUUGAUUUAGACGCCGUGCUUCUCAUGUGCUUAAUGCAUUGUAUUAAGUUCGGCUCAUGAAAAGCACGGCGUCCAAACCGGGCCU